CCAAUAGCGUAUAUUAAAGUUGUUGCAGUUAAAAAGCUCGUAGUUGAAUUUUGGGUUUGGCCGAUUGGUCCGUUCUUGUAACGAGUACUGGUUGGUUGGGCCUCACUGCUUGGGGAGGAGUAAUGUUCUUUAUUGGAUGUUGCUAAUAGCCAAGACCUUUACCUUGAAAAAAUUAGAGUGUUUAAAGCAGGCUUAUGCCGGAAUACAUUAGCAUGGAAUAAUAGAAUAGGACAAUGAUUCUAUUUUGUUGGUUUCUAGGACCGUUGUAAUGAUUAAUAGGGAUAGUUGGGGGCAUUAGUAUUCAAUUGUCAGAGGUGAAAUUCUUGGAUUUAUUGAAGACUAACUACUGCGAAAGCAUUUGCCAAGGAUGUUUUCAUUAAUCAAGAACGAAAGUUAGGGGAUCGAAGACGAUCAGAUACCGUCGUAGUCUUAACCAUAAACUAUGCCGACUAGGGAUCGGGCGAUGUUAUUUAAAUGACUCGCUCGGCACCUUAUG
rnacentral:rRNA from 1 species